rnacentral:rRNA from 1 species
UACGUAGGGUGCGAGCGUUGUCCGGAAUUAUUGGGUGUAAAGAGCUUGUAGGUGGCUCGUUGCGUCGGGAGUGAAAACCUGCGGCUUAACCGCAGGCCUGCUUCCGAUACGGGCGAGCUAGAGUUCGGCAGGGGAGACUGGAAUUCCUGGUGUAGCGGUGGAAUGCGCAGAUAUCAGGAGGAACACCGGUGGCGAAGGCGGGUCUCUGGGCCGAUACUGACACUGAGAAGCGAAAGCGUGGGGAGCGAACAGG